rnacentral:rRNA from 1 species
CCUACGGGAGGCAGCAGUGAGGAAUAUUGGUCAAUGGACGCACGCCUGAACCAGCCAUGCCGCGUGCAGGAAGACGGCCCUAUGAGUUGUAAACUUCUUUUGUACGAGGGUAACCGCAGAUACGCGUAUCUGUCUGAAAGUAUCGUACGAAUAAGGAUCGGCUAACCCCGUUCCAGCCGCCGCGGGAAUACGGAGGAUUCAAGCGUUAUCCGGAUUUAUUGGGGUUAAAGGGUGCGUAGGCGGGCGGAUAAGUUCGGGGUGAAAUCCCGAGGCUCAACUUCGGAUUUGCCGCUGAUACUGGUCGGCUAGAGAGUAGUAGCGGUAGGCGGAAUGUAUGGUGUAGCGGUGAAAUGCUUAGAGAUCAUACAGAACACCGAUUGCGAAGGCAGCUUACC